CCUUAUUAAGAGCGGCUGAGGGAACAGGCCCCGUGAAGCCCGGCAACCUGAAAUUAUUUAAGGUGCUAAAUCCUGCGGUGCAGACCGAAAGAUAAGG
rnacentral:ncRNA from 1 species